CCUACGGGUGACAGCAGUAGGGAAUCUUCCACAAUGGGCGAAAGCCUGAUGGAGCAACGCCGCGUGGGUGAAGAAGGUCUUCGGAUUGUAAAACUCUGUUGUUAGAGAAGCAAGUGCGUGAGAGUAACUGUUCACGCUUCGACGGUAACUAACCAGAAACCCCCGGCUAACUACGUGCCAGCAGCCGCGGCAAGACGUAGGUGGCAAGCGUUAUCCGGAGUUAUUGGGCGUAAAGGGAACGCAGGCGGUCUUUUAAGCCUGAUGUGAAAGCCUUGGGCUUAACCGGCGUAGUGCAUUUGAAACUGGUGGACUUGAGUGCAGGAGAGGAGAGUGGAACUCCAUGUGUAGCGGUGAAAUGCGUAGAUAUAAGGAAGAACACCAGUGGCGAAGGCGGCUCUCUGGUCUGUAACUGACGCUGAGGUUCGAAAGCGUGGGUAGCAAACAGGAUUAGAUACCCCUGUAGUC
rnacentral:rRNA from 1 species